GACCACGUGGCCGAGUGGUCUAAGGCGCACGAUUCAGGUUCGUGUCUCUUCGGAGGCGAGAGUUCGAACCUCUCCGUGGUUA
rnacentral:tRNA from 1 species